UCCGAGUUGACCCCGGCAGUCUCCUGCGAGUCCCCGCCAUUACGCGCUGGCAACACAGGACAAGGGUUGCGCUCGUUGCGGGACUUAACCCAACAUCUCACGACACGAGCUGACGACAGCCAUGCACCACCUGUGCACGGCCCCGAAGGACACCGUAUCUCUACGGCUUUUCCGUGCAUUUCACGCCCUGGUAAGGUUCUUCGCGUUGCGUCGAAUUAAGCCACAUGCUCCGCCGCUUGUGCAGGCCCCCGUCAAUUCCUUUGAGUUUUAGCCUUGCGGCCGUACUCCCCAGGCGGGGCGCUUAAUGCGUUAGCUACGGCACGGAAAACAAUGAAGCUCCCCACGCCUAGCGCCCAACGUUUACGGCGUGGACUAC
rnacentral:misc_RNA from 1 species